UAAUGAUACAGAGGUUUGGUAUUGUGUUGUGAGUUUGGUAGACUUUCUAAGCACUUAUUCAUGAUAUCGUCAUUUCGGAAAACAAAUAAAACACAAAGUUUGUACAUUCUUGGACACACGUUUGCCUACCUGACAAAUUCAAAAGCCCUUCAUUGCUGCAGUUCAAAUUUGUCUGAAGUUACUUGACGAUGGAGCGGAGGCGAUUAUCGCAGACUGAGCGUCUCCAAUCAAAAAAUAGAAGUGGAAAAUUGAGUAAAAGCGUUGAGCCAGACUCUGUCAGAGACAGGUGUACUGACACAAGAAUUGAUAUGUUUGGAGACCCGCACAAAAAUGCCUACGUGUGCAUAGAAUGUCGAUCCAAGAUGGCAACCGAGGUUUUUGUUUCAUGUUCCAGCAUUCACGAACAGCCCGUAUUCUGUUCAGCCUGUGUUUCUGGCAGGGAAAAGUGCCCUUGGUGCAACCGAGAGGACGGUAAAACAUUUUAAUGCCAAGUGUGGAAAUGAGAAUAAAAAUAUAUAUCGACUACUUUAUUCUUUAUUCAUAGUAUUUGUCGAUUUUUUCUUUUUGUAAUAUAAAGCCUUAUUUUGUAAAUAUUUACUUUUCCGGCUUAUGCUGUCAAAUUGCGGAAACCAUUUUAUGCCAAUGUCAACUUGUAAUGAUAAUUAAUUUUUGUGUCUCCGUGUAUAAAGAAUGUUGCGUAUAUGAAGUGAUACUUUCGAGAUUUCGUGAUUAUACAGGGUGUGCAUAAAGUCCCUUUACAAUUUCAAUUUUGGUAUGAAGUCAGUUCUCGAGAUAUCUUAACCAGGUUUGUUGUUUUUGUUGAUCAGUAAUUGUUUGAGUAUUUUACUUCAUUCAAUACAUCUGCGAGGGCGAAAAUAAUAUAUGGUAUCGAUAAAUUCCCUUUGGCUAUUCUGAAUGAAUUGGGAGAUAGAUACCAUUUGUACCAGUGUAAAUGAUAUUUAAACAAGCUUUUAUCAUUACGACUUUUACUGUUAUAAUCUAUAGAUGUUCAACUACAAUUUGUUAUGAAUUGCAUUGCUCUGUCACUUUUCUUUCUUCCAUUUUGCUUUUAUUUGUAAGUUUCUAUCGCUAAAGUGCUUCCUUGUAAUAGGCUACUUCCAAUAAACAUCUAUUAAAUUCA